CGGAGUGAACGCACCACUGGUGUUCGGGUUGUCAUGCCAAUGGCAUUGCCCGGUAGCUAAGUGCGGAAGAGAUAACCGCUGAAAGCAUCUAAGCGGGAAACUUGCCUCGAGAUGAGUCUUCCCUGUCGCUUUAAGCGACCUAAAGGAACGUUUAAGACUAAGACGUUGAUAGGCUGGGUGUGUAAGCGUAGCGAUACGUUGAGCUAACCAGUACUAAUGAACCGUGAGGCUUAACCUG
rnacentral:rRNA from 1 species